UGGUACGAGACGAAACAGCACGCCAUGUAUCGAUAAGGUGAGGUCCCUGCCUACGGACGGCACAACAGGGCAGCGGCAAGUUGGUGAAAGUGACGGCGCCGCGCGCGUCGUCUCGUCGCCUCGCCGGCCGUGUGGCUGUCUUUUCCCCGGCCGCGCGCGCCAAUUCUUUUGGGCUCUCCCGCGCCGCCCUCUGCUUCUGCCUUCUGCGCACCGCAGCUGCAGGCUGCAGCAGGUGUGUCGCAGGCAGCUGAGAGCCUGAGAAGCAGAAGCCGCGUGGUGCGAGGGAUCCGCACCGCAGGGGAUAAGAAGAAGCCCGUGCGCCACCUGCAGCAGAGGCCGCGUACAUCACGUGACGGCGAACGAAUAGCCCAGGCGACGCCGGGGCGUAAAGAAAUACGAGUACAGUUGCUACGGCUGCCACCGUACCGUACCACUACCAUCUGCGCAGCAGGAGUACACCACUGUGCGUACAGCCUCGGAUUGAAGUUUCUAUGAGCCGUGCGUGAUGCCUAACUCCGGUUGGAUUAUUGUCGAUUCGCCUCAUCAAGCCAUGAAACACAGAUGCGACAUGAAGGAGAGAGGCAACUUUUGAGGUAGGCCAGUGACCAGGCCAAUCGAGAUGUUCAUGUCUGGUGGGGGCUUGAAGGUGAGUUGAGACUUUGAGAGCAAGGGAACAUACUCUAUCCGUCUCAUUGCUUGAUUCAUUUGAUAACUAUCAAUUACUCACUUAACAAGGUUACUGGUUUGCUA